rnacentral:rRNA from 1 species
AUGCGCCGAAGCACCACCCAGCGCCCGGGGCCGCGCCGCGGCGCCGGCCUCAAGCCCGGAUCCCGCGGACCGGCCGCCGCCAAGCCCGACCACCAUAGCGCCCUCCCGGACGCGCUCCUGCACCGCAUCAUGUCGUCCCUCAAGGCGUGGGAGGCGGUCCGCACCUGCGUGCUCGCGCGCCGGUGGCGUCACCUCUGGGCGUCCGCGCCCUGCGUCGACCUCCGCCUGCGCCACUCCUCCGGCCGCGACGCCGACCCGCCGAAGGAGUUCCGCCACUUCGUGCACCGCCUCUUCCUCCUCCGCGACGCGUCGGCGCCAGUGGGCACGCUCCGCCUGCGGUCCGACGACGAGGACGCGGGCUACUACGAGGAAGACGCCAACGUGUGGAUCAGGGCCACCAUCAACCGCAACGCACAGGUCAUCCAUCUCGCCGGGCAUCGCUCGGAGAUCGCGUCGUUGGACCGCGUGCAGUUCGUCUCCUGCCACCUCAAGGUCCUGAAGCUGUCGUAUGCCAGGCUCAACGACAAUAUGCUCAAGCAGCUCUCUACCAGCUGCAAGUCUUUGGAGGAGCUGGAUCUGAAGGAUUGCCUGGUGACAGGCCCUGGGAUUGUGUCCGACUCUUUGAAGAACUUAAUCCUGCUCAAGUGCAAGAUCAACUGCGCCUUCUCCAUUGCUGCCCCGAACCUCCUACUUCUGCGCCUCACCACGCCUUACGUCCGGGUCCCAUCGUUCAAGAACUUGGGGUCGCUGGUCACAGGCACUAUCAUACUUGAUGACUCUUUCUUGGGUGAUGACUUUGAACACAUCAGUGAUGAAGAUGACCGUGAUGGAACUACUGAUGACGACGGGGAUGGGAGCGAUGAUAAUGAUUGGACAGAGAGCUCUAAGAUUCAUGAUGACUCUUCCUUGGGUGAUGAUUUUGGAUAUGAUCAUUUUAUAAGGUUUGGAUAUGGACAUACUUUUGCUGAAGAAAGUUACACACACGGUCAUUACAAGGAUAAUUUUGAUUAUGGCAGUGAUAUCGAUAGCGAUGACAAUACCUAUGAAUACAGUGAGAUUGCAAAUGAUGCAAAGUAUGGCUGCAAAGGUAAAGGCCAUCUUUCCAGUAAAGAUGGUAACUAUGGUGGAAACGGAGAAUGCAAUGAUAGGAAGAUUUUAGGUGGACGUCAUGUUCUUGAGUCUCUUUCAAGUGCUAGAACUUUGGAGUUGUUGACUGAUGCUGGAGAGGUGGUUCUGAGUAGGGAACUGAAUAUGUGUCCAACUUUUGGCAACCUGAAGACCCUGUCCCUUGGCGAAUGGUGUAUGACUGCAGACUUUGAUGCAUUAAUUUUCUUGCUGCAGCACUCACCUAAUAUACAGAAGCUCUUUCUCCAACUUAAAAUUAACUUCAAUACCAGAAAGGCAUCAGAAACAGGUAUCAAACUACAGGGAAGAUCAUUUACUUGCAAAGACCUUCAAAUGGUGAAGAUUACAUGCUCAAAGGAUGAUGGGAGAGUUCAUAAGUUGGCAAAUUUGUUUAGGGCAAAUGGAAUACCCCUCAAGAAAAUUUAUGUCCGCCGCAGUGGGAGUGCUUAUCUCCGUAGCCAGAAGCAGAUGAAAGAAUUCGCCAGGCGUGAACUGGAGUUUUGGGGGAUGUAA